CGGACGGGUGAGUAAUGUCUGGGAAGCUGCCUGAUGGAGGGGGAUAACUACUGGAAACGGUAGCUAAUACCGCAUAACGUCGCAAGACCAAAGAGGGGGACCUUAGGGCCUCUUGCCAUCGGAUGUGCCCAGAUGGGAUUAGCUAGUAGGUGGGGUAACGGCUCACCUAGGCGACGAUCCCUAGCUGGUCUGAGAGGAUGACCAGCCACACUGGAACUGAGACACGGUCCAG
rnacentral:rRNA from 1 species